AUAUGAUCGUCUUCCAACGUUAUUGUACACUCGCCCAAUGGAAAAAGAAAUGUGUGGGUCUCCGGCCUCCAUCUUUCACAUAACGCGACUAUUAAACGAUUAUCAACGUUAUAUUUGUUUAAAUUAGUAAAGUCCCACAAUCCGGCUGACCUUAAGCUAUCUUCAAUGGUUGGGGGCGCCGGGGAAAUCUUACGAUGACAUCAAACU
rnacentral:lncRNA from 1 species